AGAGCGGUGAGUCGCUCUGGUCACGUUGGACACCUGCGCGUUAGGAGAUUUUGGAGCCAGACGGAGAGCCGAAUGGCCUUCGCCUGCCCUGCCCCUCUCCUGCUUCAGAAGCCCCCAGAAACUCCCCGGUCGGCGACCCAGCCCGAGCCGCCUGGGGUCCCAAGGGAAGCUGAACGCCGGGUGGGCUCCCGGGAUGGUUCUUCCCGUUCUCUGCGCCGCCUUCACCCAGUGAGGGAGCCUGUGCCCACCCCGCCCAGUCGCUUUCGGGGCCGCUGCGGAGCUGCCGCUGCCAUCUUCGGAUCCUGUGUCCCGCACGGCGGCUCCACCAGGGCAGGGAUGGUGGCGAGGGUCGCUCGUCGGUCCCCUCGCAGGGAGCAGGGUCUGGCACUCACCAGGGCGCCCGACUAGGACUUGCCGAAUGAAUCCAUCGUCGCCUUUAGCUUUUAGUCCUUUGACGAGCCCUAAGAGUGGAAAUCAAGAGAUUUUUUCCAUGGGGAACUUCUUUUUACAAAGCGUUGAUUUCUCGGCGCCCCGCGGGGCGAGCAACUGGCAGGCCCUCCGGUUCAUCUUCUGCGCGGUGGAGCCGCGGGGACUCAGCUGGGCGGUGGUCUGGACCUGGGGCUGUAGGGCAGGAGCGGGGGAAGGGAAAAGCAAAAGCUGGGAAAGAAGCCUGGGAGCGGCGGACCAGACCUCCAGACCUCCUGAAAGGCUCGUGCAGAGGCACAGGCGGGAUCUUCUGGAAGUGAGAAUUGUUUUAGUUUGUUUAUUUAUUGUAGCAGAAUGGGGAAAUGGAGAGAGAACCUGAAAGAGCCCCAACCACUAGGACCUAUUGCUCCCCAAGAAUAACAUCUUCCAGAACUAGACAGAAAACUAGGCGUCUGGGAACCCUGAAAUCCUUGGAGGAGUAGCAUCAUCAUGACCCUCUGUGUUCUUUUUGGCAAAGGACUUGCUUCCAUUGUUUGUUUGUUCAAUAGUCUGUUUGCUAAAUAAAUAAAACCCUUUUCAUAUAUCUUUAAAAUUA